rnacentral:rRNA from 1 species
UGGGGAAUUUUGGACAAUGGGCGAAAGCCUGAUCCAGCCAUGCCGCGUGAGUGAAGAAGGCCUUCGGGUUGUAAGCUCUUUUAGUCGGAAAGAAAGAGUUGCAAUGAAUAAUUGUGAUUUAUGACGGUACCGACAGUAAAAGCACCGGCUAACUACGUGCCAGCAGCCGCGGUAAUACGUAGGGUGCGAGCGUUAAUCGGAAUUACUGGGCGUAAAGGGUGCGCAGGCGGUCUUGCAAGUCAGAUGUGAAAGCCCCGGGCUUAACCUGGGAAUUGCGUUUGAAACUACAAGGCUAGAGUGCAGCAGAGGGGAGUGGAAUUCCAUGUGUAGCAGUGAAAUGCGUAGAGAUGUGGAAGAACACCGAUGGCGAAGGCAGCUCCCUGGGUUGACACUGACGCUCAUGCACGAAAGCGUGGGGAGCAAACA